CCUCCCUGCCUCUUCUCACUCCAACUCAAUGGCUCCAAGCUUCAUCUUUGAGCCUCCCAGAGAAGAAGAAGUUGAGCUAUCAGAAGCAGAAGGGCAAGAAGAGGAAGAAAAGGAAGCAUCAGAAGACGAAGGAGGAGGAGAAGAUAAGCCUUUAAAUCAGCGGCAGAAGCAGUCGCCAUGGGAUUUUGCUUCCUACUCCUAAUCCGUCGCCGAAGAACACGCUCGUCGAAGCACCACUUCCAUCGAUGAGAAAAUCUCCAAGCUCGCUAACAACUCUCCACUCCUAUAACUAACCACACCGACGACGCUAGUCCCUCGGAUUCCGAACCAGAAACAAGCUUUGGAACUUUUCAGGAAGCAGCGAGUUGAUUUUUGAUUGCAGCUAAUGUAGCUGCCCGAUUACAUUCAUGGAGUGGGUGUACUGCAAGAGCCGGUAGAGAAGGAUAUAUGAUGGGUACACCACACUGAGAUAUUGUCCAUGCACUUACAUAAUUAUAAACAAGAGAUUGAAUUUCAGAUUAUGUUAUGGUUUAAUUUAUUUAAAUUUUUAGUACUUGAGUUUUAUUAAUUAAUUUUUAUUUGUUGGGUUGAUUUAAUUAUUAUUAAAUAUUUUAUUUAGUGGACUAUAAGUCCAUUUAUUUAUUUUAAUUAGAGUUUUAGUAUUUAUAUUCUAUAUUUCUAAAUGUUAAAGAAUAUUUUAUUAAUUGAAUAAAAAUUACAGAGUUGCAAGACUUUUUUAACACUUAUUUUUUUCUUAUCUUUCUUUACUUUUAAUUCUUAAUUUCUUUUUCUAAAAGCUUUUUUUCUUGUUUUAAUUAUUUUUUUCUAUUGUUCUGCAUCAAAUUUGAUAUUAGAGCAUGAUAUUUUAAUUAUUCUUACAAUUAAAUGAUUUAUGAGCUUGUUUAAAUUAAUUGACAUUCAAAGCUAGACGACUACUUUCAGACUAUACUUGGAUAAUCAAAGAGACGUCACAAUAACUUGAUCAUGAUCUUUGAAAGUAUUAUUAGAGCUGCCUUGAAUUAUACUCGAUGUAGUUAAGUUUCUCAAACCCUAGGAGAGAUGGUGAGGACAUUAGAUCCGAGAUAUUAUUUAUGCACUUGUAUGAUAUUAUAUAUAAUCGAUAAAGGGUAGUAAAAUUCAUUGAGAAAUUGAGCUUUAAAUUAUGAUUUUGGUUUAAUUUAUUUGAAUUUUUAGUUGAAGUUUAUUAAUUAUAUUUUAUUUAUUAGAUUUAUUUUGAUUAUUAUUAGUUAUUUUAUUUAGUAUAACCCAAAAGUUUAUUCUAGUUAGAAUUUUAGAAUUUAUACCGUAUUACUCUUUUCAUCUUCUAAGAUAAUUCUCACUUUCCUGGCCUACGUCGACACCCCAAAGAGAGAUAAACCAUCUACAUCUGCCUCUUGUCUUAUAUAUUGUUAAUUUUGAGCCAUUAAUUUAGCAUAUUAAUUAUUUUUUGGCUACUGCAUCCACUCUUUCAAGGAAUACUGAUACUAAUACAUUCCUUCCUAUUGUUUAAAUUCAUGAUGGCUUUCUAGGAGAAACCAUGUACAUUUUCAGCACCAAAACCCUAAGAAAAUGUUUUCAAAACCGUGAAGAUGUCAGAUACAGUGGUUGUCUUGAAUUUCUUCGGUUUUAAAAUUUAAACCUACCUCUUAGCUAUCACAAUAGUUUGGCUGAGUGGAUUGUGUUGCAUCUGAUAGAAUAUUGAAUGUAUUCCUAAAACAAUGGGAAGGAAUGUAUUAAAAUGUAUUUAUGGCUUCUGGACUAAAGUAUCACCAUUUAAAUCUACUCGAAAGAAUUAACACACUAACUCAUGGAUGAGUAGUUCUUGUUUCUAGCUUUUAUAGGCUCUUCAUGUUCAAUUUUGUUAUAUUAUGAUAGCUGAUCCCUCGGUAUUUGCUAAAUAUUUUGUCAUGAACAUUAUGCGUGGAUGCUUUGAUCAGUUGAAGGCGAUAUUCUACAUGAUCCCACUGAAGUGUGUUUUUGAAAGGAGAAUUUGGAGAUAGUCUUACUCAUUAUUUCUGCAUGAAGUUUCUAAUGUUAAAACUAGAAGUUUCACCCAUGUGGUUGUUGAAUAUGACUCACCCAGAGGUCAUGUUGUCUGUAUCGUUGAAGAGCUAGCUGUAUCGUUGCAGAGCAAUCGGUUACUAAGUGUUCUCAGAUAAUUGAGAAAAUGGAAAAUCAAGUGGCUGACAUUCAUCAAGAGGAGAGGGAAGAGAGAGCUCUAAGAAAAGCUGAGAUGGAAGCGACCAAGACAGAAAUUAUGAUUGCGCACAAGGAUGAAAUCUUUUCAAGUCCCAAAAGGACCUGGUUUGUAACAGAGAGACAGAAAAUGCUAGCAGCAAAGUUCAACUUUCAGGACUUUAUAUUAAGCAAUACAAGUUUAAGGUUAGUUUCUCCUACCAAUCAAACGGUGUGUACACUUGGAUGCAGCAGUCAUCGGUUAGGCUCUGGAAAUGAGGUGAUGAGUGCCCAGCAAGCUGAAGACCUUAAAAUGAAGGAAAUGAGGAAGCGAGAGCGUGAAGUGAUUGUUUUUCUGCAAUUUAAUGUUAUCAUUUUCUGAUUGAAAAGAUUUGCUCUCCCAAAAAAACCUAAUAUCUGUUGAACAGAAAGAUUUACUCUGUAAAAAGCGUCGAAAACUACAAACAGCCAGAGAGAUGCUAGAGGAUGAAGAUCUAACUGAGAAACCAGAAGGAAGUGGAAAAAAAUAAGAAGGAAAAUACUGGACUACCGUCGGGUGAAAGCAGCAGAGGCUGUGAAGAAGGCAUUGGAUGCUGGCAAGAUUGUGCAGAAGAAGGCUGGUAAGAAAUCAAAGCCGCCUCCUGAAAGAACUCAAUCGAGGACAGAAGAAAUGCGGGAGCUGUUCCAGAGGGACAUGAGUGAGAGAAAGCAGAAGAGAAGUAGUGGAACAAGAAACAGGAAGUCCAAGAAUUCAUCUAAGAGCAAAUCAAGGUAUAAGCGGAGGUAGCCCUAUCAAGUUUGCCAUCAAAUUAUGUGGUCAUUUACCUCGAUAAAUUAUGAAGGUUCUAUACUUUAGCUGUGCUGAUUUUGGAGGAGAGGCAGGCAGAUACUAACCGUUGAUGGUGCGAAAGCAAAAGCAUCCAUACAAAUGAAGCGUUCAUCAUCUCCCUUGAUGUUUCAACUUACCAUCCUGUAUUUUCUUUUCCCAGUAUCACUAGGUGACAUCAAACCCUAUUAACAAAUGCUUUCCUGGGUUGAUUUAUAGAUUGCAAUAUGCUGGCAGUUGGCCCACAGAGUUUUGAUCUGUUAUGCUGCCUUGUGGAAAAAAAUGGUCUCUAGGCUCGCUGGCCUCUCCUCACUAGGGUUUAGUUUCUUGAUUAUUAUUUCUGAGAAAAAAUGUAACUCAACUUACCUUGUAUGCUGGAAUUGCGUGUUAGAAAAAUAUGUAAGCUACUACGAGCAGCAAGUCAAAAA